GAGGGGCAGCUCUGGGAAAGUCCUAGGGGUGGGGGCAGUCUCCACAGCCUCCCACAAGGGAGUUACCACCUUCCCGCACUUCUGGGUACAAGUCUCCUGCUCUGGCUGUAUUCCACAGUUAGAACUUCAUAUCUUUGGCUUAGAGCUGGAUUUUCUGUUACCAUGUGGAUGCUCCAGGGGCCCGCUCCUGCUUAAAAACACCAUGCAUGCAGACUGCUGCUGGGAAUGUGACAGUUGGCUGUUGGAGAGAAGCGGGCACUGGCAUUGAGAGACCUCCAGACUGGACAUGGCCCUGAGUCCAGGGGCUAACCUGGUCUUCCAUGAAGACCCAAAGAUGACACCAAGUCCCCCCUCCUGUGGGGCCCCGGGAUUAGGGUCUGGUACCAUCCCUCAGCCCCACCCAGACAUGGCUCAGGUGCCUAUGUUGAAUCUGCUCCCAAGUCCUGGCUUGGCUCUCGUUCCAGAUCUUAAUGAUUCUUUGAGUCCAGUCUCAGGGGAGGCCUCAGGCCUGGUGUCUGAAAACACCCCCAGACCUGAUGACAGCAGAGCUAUCGCUCCAGCCUCCCUCCAGAUCACCAGUUCUUGUUCUGGUGAAGCCCUGGACCUGGAUUCCAAGGAUGUCUCAAGGCCUGACUCACAGGGGCGCCUCUGUCCAGCCUCAAACCCCAUUCUGAGCCCUAGCUCUACUGAGGCCCCUCGUCUGAGCUCUGGGAACCACCCUCAGUCAAAUUCUGAAGAUGCCUUCAAGUGCCUCUCAAGUAAGAUUUUCAAGUUGGGUCAGAGAAACUCCAACCCUUCUAGGCAUGAAUUAAACCCAUUUAUAAGGCACCAUUCCAGAGAAGGUCUGGUUCUGGGCCACUGCAUCUCUAGGCCAAGCUCAAAAGCACUCCUUAUUCCAACCUCAAACUCUUCUCUGGACCUUGACUCCAAUCCAUUGCUCAACAUGGGCUCAAGAAACACCUCCAAGCUGAACCUGAAUGUAGCUCCAGAUUCUCAUGGGACCCUAAUCCCAGACACAAAUGAGACCAUCACUUUGGCUUCACAUAAUAUCUCUGAGUCUGUUUCAAAAGGAGCCUUUAGUACCACCUGGAGCACAAGUUCAAAGGAAACCAUGAAUGUGGCUUCCAGCGGCCACUCCAGAUCUGAUUUGAGCGUGACCAUCACUCAAGCCUCGUAUGUGACCCUGAUUCCUGGCUCCAGCUAUGGUAUCAGCCUGCACUCCAGCACCCAUGAGCCCAACUCCACCAUCUCUCCACCCUCAUGCAUGACUCUAAUCCUGGGUUCCAAUGAGACUCUGAGCCUGGACUCCAGCCUCCUGUUCAGCGACACCUCCACCUUGACGCUGAGCAGUCAGCAGGAUGAUGCCAAGGACAACAGCAUCCACACUGUGCCCCUGGAGGAGAAUCUGGAGAGUUGGAGUGAGAUGGCCAGCAUUAAGGUGGGCCAGUUCCCGCUGGGAUUCCCCAUCUCCAACCCCGCAGGCAAGGACGCCGUGACCUUGCAAGGCAUCCCUGAGGGAGCCUUUGAUGAAGUGACCUCAUGCCUGGUGAAGGUGCCAGAGAAGACAGAAGGUGGCAACAACAUGGCUCUGGUUGAGAAUGUCACCACCCUUCAGAAGAGCCAGGAUCUGCUGGAGGCAGAAGGAGAAAAGAAGACCAUGAUAAAGAAGAUUAUGAGGCAGAUCCAGGAGGAGCCACUGGAUUCUCUCUCAAGCUCCGUCCGCAAGCAGGCCAUGGAGAUCCUGACCCAGCUGAGCCACACCCAGCCCACCCUGGGCAUGCGGGAGAGGUCGGAGCUGGUGAACGUGUGUGUGCACAGCGUGUUCUCCCUGCCCUCCGUGCAGGCGAUGCAGGAGAAGGACGAGGCCAAGGCUGAGACCAUCCAGGCUCUUUACCAUCAGACCCUGGAGGCCCUGCAGACACUGCUCAAAGCCCUCUUUAUCGAGGACCCCACUCCUGCUGGGCUGAAGAGCAUCUUGGAGGCCCUGGGGCCUUGGAUGAACUCUGGGAAGGCCCAUGAGCGAGCACGGGCUGUGAACACCAAUGUCUCUGUGUUGAACCACAUGCUUCUAACUCUGCCUUUCUUUAUUGCAAUACAAACAGAUGCCCUUGGGGUUCCCGGCGCUGGGGCUUCUGCUGGGGAGACUCAUCCUUCACAUUGGGGAUCCUGAUGAGGAGAUUGGCUGUGAGGCUCUGGACGGCAUCAUCAUCCUCUACACUAUUCUGGAGCUCCAAAAACGAGCCAGAGAUAAGGAAGAGACCAACAAAAAGGAGCUAUAUGAGAGCAACAAGCAUUUCCUGGGGCCCUACAACCCUGUGAGCCCGUGCCAGAACAUUCUGCGGGUGAUCGAGGAAUUUGGAGACUUCCUGGGGCCCCAGCAGAUAAAGGACCUGCUGCUGGCCGCCCUGGAAGGGCUGAAAGGCAGCUCAGAGGCUCCAGGGAAGGACUCCAGGGAGAUGAUGCAGCUGGCCUCGGAGGUCAUGCUCAGCUCGGUGCUGGAGUGGUACCGCCACAGGGCGCUGGAGGUGAUCCCAGAAAUCAUGCAAGGCAUCUACAUGCAGCUGAGCCACAUCCAGGAGCCUCGGGCCCGCCAGGUGGCCCUGCUGCCCGUCUCCCUCCUGGCUAGCUCCUUCAUGACCGAGGUUGUGGUGGCCCUGCUCAUGUGCCCCCUCCCACUGAACAGCAAUGGAGCAGAGAUGUGGAGGCAGCUGAUACUGUGUAAGCCCAGCUGUGAUGUCCGAGACCUCCUGGAUCUGCUCCUGGGCAGCCUGAAGGAGAAGCCCGUCACCAAGGAGGGCCGGGCUUCCAUCGUGCCCCUGGCGGCAGCCAGCGGCCUGUGCGAGCUCCUGUCCGUCAACAGCUGCAUGGGCCGUGUGAGGCGCAUCUACCCUCAGCUGCUCCUGGCCCUGCUCAUUCAGGUCCAUUACCACAUCGGCCUCAACCUGCCUGGCUGCGUGGCUCCUCCCAAGGACACCAAGAAGGGUGCACAGCCCUCUCCCUUCGUACCUGUGCGCUGGGUGGUGAAAGUGGUGAAAACCCUGCUACUGAGGAUGGGCUGCUCUUAUGAGACCACGUUUCUGGAGGACCAGGGUGGCUGGGAGCUCAUGGAGCAGGUGGAGAGCCACCACCGCGGAGUGGCCUUGCUGGCAAGGGCCAUGGUGCAGUACUCCUGCCAGGAGCUGUGCCGCAUCCUCUACCUGCUCAUCCCGCUCCUGGAGCGAGGCGACGAGAAGCACAGGAUCACGGCCACCGCCUUCUUCGUGGAGCUCCUCCAGAUGGAGCAGGUGCGCCGGAUCCCCGAGGAAUACUCUCUGGGGCGGAUGGCAGAAGGCCUGAGCCACCACGACCCCAUCAUGAAGGUGCUGUCCAUUCGAGGCCUGGUCAUCCUGGCCCGCAGGUCUGAGAAGACCGCCAAGGUGAAGGCCCUCCUGCCCUCCAUGGUGAAGGGCCUGAAGAACAUGGAUGGGAUGCUGGUGGUGGAAGCGGUCCACAACCUCAAGGCUGUCUUCAAGGGGCGGGACCAGAAGCUGAUGGACAGUGCGGUCUAUGUGGAGAUGCUGCAGAUCCUGCUGCCGCACUUCAGCGACGCACGAGAGGUCGUGCGCUCCUCCUGCAUCAACCUGUAUGGGAAGGUGGUCCAGAAGCUUCGGGCACCACGCACUCAGGCCAUGGAGGAGCAGCUGGUCAGCACCUUGGUGCCCCUACUGCUGACCAUGCAGGAGGGCAACUCCAAGGUAAGCCAGAAGUGUGUGAAGACCCUGUUACGCUGUUCUUACUUCAUGGCUUGGGAGUUGCCAAAAAGAGCUUAUAGCCGGAAGCCCUGGGACAACCAACAGCAGACAGUGGCCAAAAUUUGCAAGUGCCUUGUGAACACCCACCGAGACAGCGCCUUCAUAUUCCUCAGCCAGAGCCUGGAGUAUGCCAAGAACUCACGGGCCUCCCUCCGGAAGUGCUCAGUCAUGUUCAUAGGGUCCCUGGUCCCCUGCAUGGAGAGCAUAAUGACAGAAGAUCGUCUGAAUGAAGUGAAAGCUGCUCUGGAUAACUUGAGACAUGACCCAGAAGCAUCAGUGUGCAUCUACGCAGCCCAGGUCCAGGACCACAUCCUGGCCAGCUGCUGGCAGAACUCCUGGCUGCCGCACGGGAACUCAUGGGUGUGUUACUCAGCCACCACCCACCGCUGGAGCCCCAGCUGUGAGAACCUGCCCACUUCCCACCAGCGGCGCUCCUGGAUCAUGCAGGCACUGGGCUCCUGGAAGAUGUCCUUGAAGAAGUGACGUCCCUGAGCCCCAAACCCUCCUCAGGGUGGUUGAGUUCCAGCCAUGCUCCCUAUAAAUGUCAUGUGGCUUACCUCUC